rnacentral:rRNA from 1 species
CCUGACUGCUAUCGGAUUGAUACUAAGCCAUGCGAGUCAUUGUAGUAAUACAAGGCAGACGGCUCAGUAACGCGUAGUCAACCUAACCUAUGGACGGGAAUAACCUCGGGAAACUGAGUAUAAUGCCCGAUAGAACAUUAUGCCUGGAAUGGUUUAUGUUCCAAAUGAUUUAUCGCCGUAGGAUGGGACCGCGGCCUAUCAGUUUGUUGGUGAGGUAAUGGCCCACCAAGACUAUUACAGGUACGGGCUCUGAGAGGAGUGGCCCGGAGAUGGGUACUGAGACACGGACCCAGGCCCUAUGGGGCGCAGCAGGCGAGAAAACUUUGCAAUGUGCGAAAGCACGACAAGGUUAAUCCGAGUGGUUUCUGCUAAAGGAACCUUUUGUCGGUCCUAGAAACACCGAUGAAUAAGGGGUGGGCAAGUUCUGGUGUCAGCCGCCGCGGUAAAACCAGCACCUCAAGUGGUCAGGAUGAUUAUUGGGCCUAAAGCAUCCGUAGCCGGCUUUGUUAGUUUUCGGUUAAAUCUGUACGCUUAACGUACAGGCUGCCGGGAAUACUGCAGAGCUAGGGAGUGGGAGAGGUAGACGGUACUCGGUAGGAAGGGGUAAAAUCCUUUGAUCUAUUGAUGACCACCUGUGGCGAAGGCGGUCUACCAGAACACGUCCGACGGUGAGGGAUGAAAGCUGGGGGAGCAAACCGGAUUAGAUACCCGGGUAGUCCCAGCUGUAAACUAUGCAAACUCAGUGAUGCAUUGGCUUGUGGCCAAUGCAGUGCUGCAGGGAAGCCGUUAAGUUUGCCGCCUGGGAAGUACGUACGCAAGUAUGAAACUUAAAGGAAUUGGCGGGGGAGCACCACAAGGGGUGAAGCCUGCGGUUC